rnacentral:tRNA from 2 species
GCCGGGGUGGUGAAACUGGUAGACGCGCUGGACUCAAAAUCCAGUGGGGGCAACCCCAUGCGGGUUCGAUUCCCGCCCCCGGCACCA